rnacentral:lncRNA from 1 species
UGGUUUUCUCCUUGGUGUGUGAGUUUGUUUGGUGCUCUCCCUUUCUCCUUCGCCAUUUGAAUAGUGAUGUCAUUAUUCCAACGUCCUCUCACCUCUACUGAAAAAGGCCUACCAGUGACUCUCUCCUGGGUACUCAGCAACACUCUGGAGGGAAGUUGUGGUUUCAGCAAGGUGCAAGCAUCAUGAAACCGAGAGAGAACUGGCAGGGUGGAGAACUCACCCAAAGGAAGUCUUCCCUGACUGCUCUCCCUCAGCGGGCUGUAACUGUGUUCACUGGCCUCUAGUCCAGGAGCGCCUCAAGGCCAGGGCUGGGAUAUCACUCUUCUCUGGAUCCUCAGCCUGUAGCUGCCUGACUCAUGGAACCAUUUGAGGUAGGCCCCCAAGUUACAGAUGGGGAAACUGAGGCCCAGAGAGGUUAAAAUACUUGUGCAGAAUCACACAGCUGGCUGAUGACAGAAGCACGACGCAAACUGAGGCCUCCCAAGACUUUCUGCACCAGGACCAGCCAGCCAUGCUGUUACCUACUCAUUCAACAAACAGCUGUGGAGUAUUGACUCUAACGUCAGUCCCUGCCUGGGCCCCUGAGAGACAGUCAUCAGGGAGAUCAUCUAUGAAGACACAAUAAUGGAAAUAGAUUCCAUCUCAGGAAAGCACUUUCUUUGUUCAUCUAUGAGAAGACAUUCUUUCAAGUUUGACCAUGAGAUUGCAGCAAUUCAGUCACAUCUUCAGGCUCCACUUCUAAUUCUAGCUCUCUUGCUACUGGCCACCACAUCUGCAGCCUCCAUCAAAGUCUUGAAUCUCUCAGUCAUCCAUGAAGGACAGAAUCAACUUCUUUUCAAAUUCCCGUUCAUGUUGAUAUUUUGACCUCCUCCCAUAAAACACAAAUGUUCUUAAUGGUACCUAGAAUGGUGAAUUCUUUCCAGAAAGUUUUCAAUGUACUUUGCCCAGAUCCAUCAGAGGAAUCACCCUCUAUAUAGCAGCCAUAGCCUUUCAAAAUGUAUUUCUUAAAUAAUAAGACUUUUAUAUCAAAUUGUCUCCUGGAUCCACGGACUGCAGGAUGGAUGUUGUGUUAGCAGGCACGAAAAGAACAUUUUCUUAUACAUCUUCAUCAGAGCUCCUAGGUGACUAUGUGCAUUGUCAAAGGGUUACUAAUUGGCCUACAUUCAAUAUUGCUGUGUCUUAAGGAAUAGGGAGGCCUGAGGAGAGUAGAGAGAGAUGAGGGAACAGCCAGCUAGUACAGCAGUCAGAACACUUACAACAUUUAUUAACUUCACCUCAUAGUAAUAUCAAAGGUCACUGAUCAUACAUAACCAUAACAGAUAUAAUAAUGAAAAUGUGUGAAAUAUUAUGAGAAUUUUAAAAAGGGACAAAGAGCCACUAAGUGAGCACAUGCUGUUGGAAAAAUGAAACUGAUAGACUUGCUUACUCCAGGGUUGCCACAAACCUUCAAUUUGGUAAAAAAAAAAAAAAAACCAUGCAAUUCCUGUCAAGUACAAUAAAUAGGAGCCCAAUAAAAUGAGAUAUGCUUAAGAAAAAAAAGAUAUGCUUAUACAUCUUACUACAAUUAAGUACAGUCUAGCAAGAUAAAGAUAGUAAGCCCUACAACAACCACUAAGAAAAUAACCCAAGAAAAAUCGUUUUAAAAAUCAUAAAGAAGGCCAGGCCAGUGAGCCAAACACCUGUACUUCCCAGCACUUUGGGAGACUGAAGCAGGAGGAUAGCUUGAGCCCAGGAGUUUGACACCAGCCUGGGCAACAUAACCCGUCACUGCAAACAAGAAAAAACUUAGGCAUGAUGGCAUGUUGUUGCGGGAAUUCAGGGACCCCGAACGGAGGGACCGGCUGAAGCCAUGGCAGAAGAACAUAAAUUGUGA